AGUGAACGCUGGCGGUAGGUCUAGCACAUGCAAGUCGAACGGCAGCACAGUAAGAGCUUGCUCUUACGGGUGGCGAGUGGCGGACGGGUGAGGAAUACAUCGGAAUCUACUUUUUCGUGGGGGAUAACGUAGGGAAACUUACGCUAAUACCGCAUACGACCUACGGGUGAAAGCAGGGGAUCUUCGGACCUUGCGCGAUUGAAUGAGCCGAUGUCGGAUUAGCUAGUUGGCGGGGUAAAGGCCCACCAAGGCGACGAUCCGUAGCUGGUCUGAGAGGAUGAUCAGCCACACUGGAACUGAGACACGGUCCAGACUCCUACGGGAGGCAGCAGUGGGGAAUAUUGGACAAUGGGCGCAAGCCUGAUCCAGCCAUACCGCGUGGGUGAAGAAGGCCUUCGGGUUGUAAAGCCCUUUUGUUGGGAAAGAAAAGCAGCAGGUUAAUACCCCGCUGUUCUGACGGUACCCAAAGAAUAAGCACCGGCUAACUUCGUG
rnacentral:rRNA from 1 species